rnacentral:rRNA from 1 species
AUUGAACGCUAGCGGGAUGCUGUACACAUGCAAGUCGAACGGCAGCGCGGACUUCGGUCUGGCGGCGAGUGGCGAACGGGUGAGUAAUGUAUCGGAACGUGCCCAGUAGCGGGGGAUAACUACGCGAAAGCGUAGCUAAUACCGCAUACGCCCUACGGGGGAAAGCAGGGGAUCGUAAGACCUUGCACUAUUGGAGCGGCCGAUAUCGGAUUAGCUAGUUGGUGAGGUAACGGCUCACCAAGGCGACGAUCCGUAGCUGGUUUGAGAGGACGACCAGCCACACUGGGACUGAGACACGGCCCAGACUCCUACGGGAGGCAGCAGUGGGGAAUUUUGGACAAUGGGGGCAACCCUGAUCCAGCCAUCCCGCGUGUGCGAUGAAGGCCUUCGGGUUGUAAAGCACUUUUGGCAGGAAAGAAACGUCGCGGGCUAAUACCCCGUGGAACUGACGGUACCUGCAGAAUAAGCACCGGCUAACUACGUG